rnacentral:tRNA from 1 species
GCCGAUUUAGCUCAGUGGUAGAGCAACCGCCUUGUAAGCGGUAGGUCCUCGGUUCAAUCCCGAGAGUCGGCA